GACGAACGCUGGCGGCGUGCCUAACACAUGCAAGUCGAGCGGAGCCAAUUUAACAAACCCUUCGGGGUGCGUUAGAGGAAGCUUAGCGGCGGACGGGUGAGUAACGCGUGAGUAACCUGCCCAUAAGAGAGGGAUAACACAGAGAAAUUUGUGCUAAUACCGUAUAAUGUCUUCGGACCAAAGAUUUAUCGCCCAAGGAUGAGCCCGCGUAAGAUUAGGUAGUUGGUGAGGUAAAAGCUCACCAAGCCGACGAUCUUUAGCUGGUCUGAGAGGAUGAUCAGCCACACUGGGACUGAGACACGGCCCAGACUCCUACGGGAGGCAGCAGUGGGGAAUAUUGGACAAUGGGCGAAAGCCUGAUCCAGCAAUGCCGCGUGAGUGAUGAAGGCCUUAGGGUUGUAAAGCUCUUUUACCCGGGAUGAUAAUGACAGUACCGGGAGAAUAAGCUCCGGCUAACUCCGUG
rnacentral:rRNA from 1 species